GACCUAAUAGCGAAAUUGGAAUCGCAUUCACUCCCCUUAGGUUGAUCUCAGGGAGGUUAUGUGGAAGUUCUUCGUUCGAACCAAGGUUAGGACA